GAUGAAGAACGUAGCGAAAUGCGAUACGUAAUGUGAAUUGCAGAAUUCAGUGAAUCAUCGAGUCUUUGAACGCACAUUGCGCCCCCUGGUAUUCCGGGGGGCAUGCCUGUCCGAGCGUCAUUGCUGCCCUCAAGCACGGCUUGUGUGUUGGGCCUCCGCCCCCCGGCUCCCGGGGGGCGGGCCCGAAAGGCAGCGGCGGCACCGCGUCCGGUCCUCGAGCGUAUGGGGCUUCGUCACCCGCUCCGCAGGCCCGGCCGGCGCCCGCCGGCGACCCCCCUCAAUCUUUCCAGGUUGACCUCGGAUCAGGUAGGGAUACCCGCUGAACUUAAGCAUAUCAAUAAGCGGAGGA
rnacentral:misc_RNA from 1 species